AAUGAACGCUGGCGGCGUGCCUAACACAUGCAAGUCGUGCGCGAAAGGGGCUUCGGCCCCGAGUAGAGCGGCAGACGGGUGAGUAACACGUGGGUAACCUGCCCAGAAGUGGGGGAUAACCUGGGGAAACUCGGGCUAAUACCGCAUACGUUCGCGGGGUUCUGCUCCGCGAGGAAAGCCGGCCUAUGCUUGCAAGCUGGCGCUUUUGGAGGGGCCCGCGGCUGAUUAGCUUGUUGGUGGGGUAACGGCCUACCAAGGCGACGAUGGUUAGCUGGUCUGAGAGGAUGAUCAGCCACACUGGAACUGAGACACGGUCCAGACUCCUACGGGAGGCAGCAGUGAGGAAUAUUGCGCAAUGGGGGCAACCCUGACGCAGCAACGCCGCGUGAGUGAGGAAGGUUUUCGGACUGUAAAGCUCUGUCGAGCGGGAAGAAGUGUACCAUGGCUAAUAUCCAUGAUAUUUGACGGUACCGCUAGAGGAAGCACCGGCUAACUCCG
rnacentral:rRNA from 1 species